GCCUCAGUGGUCUAGUAGUAUGAUUCGCCCUUCGGGAGUUGUCCCGUAAGCUUGAUUACAUCAUAAGCUUACAUAAUGGGUGAGGUCCUGGGUUCAAUUCCCAGCUGGGGCC
rnacentral:tRNA from 1 species